rnacentral:tRNA from 1 species
GCCUCUAUGGCACAGGGGUAAUGCGUGUCACUCGUACUGCGAUUAGGCUUGCGGUGUUAUGACAAGAUCCGCGGUUCGAUUCCGCGUGGAGGCA